ACAAUAAAUAAAAAUCUCAAAAAAAAAUCAAGCAAAGCAAAUAAAUAAACAAUCACGAUAUAAGAAAUUCUAAAUAAAGACGAACACUAUGGAAAGAAACAAAACUAGCCUCUCUCCUGGAUCCACGGAGUACUUACAACCUGGACAUAGCUACAAAUAAGAGCAUCGACAGCAGCGCCUUCUUCUGUCUUCCCCUCCGGGCCACUGAAGACUGGAUGACAGCGACUGAUGACGCCCCUAGAGUUAUCAAAUCAACAAUACAACUAACAAACCAGCUAAAUGUAAUUAUAUUUAAGAAUAGUAAUCCAAAUUAAAUUUAAAGAAUAGUAAUCCAAAUUGAAUUUAAAGAAUAGUAAUCUAAAUUGAAUUUAACGAAGAAAAUCUGACUUAGUCUUUACUCUUCCCCACCAAAUUAAAUCUGUAUAAAUAACUACAACUUUACUAGAUAGAUAUAUAUAUGUAUAUAAAAAAGAAAACACUCAAUUAUUUGUAAAAUUCAAACUUUAUUAAUAAACACUUAUAUUAAGUUUCGCCUA